rnacentral:rRNA from 1 species
ACGGCUCAGUAACACGUAGCCAACCUACCCUUAGGUCAAGGAUACCCUCGGGAAACUGAGGCUAAUACUUGAUAUGGGAUUUACCCUGGAAUGAUUUAUCCCUGAAACUUGUGCCUAAGGAUGGGGCUGCGGCUGAUUAGGUUGUUGGCGGGGUAAUAGCCCACCAAGCCGAAGAUCAGUAAGGGCUCUUAGCGGAGAGGCCCUGAGAGGGAAUCUGAGACACUAUUCCCAGCCCCACGGGGUGCAGCAGGUAGGAAUCUUUUGCAAUGCACGCAAGUGUGACAAAGCGAGCCAGAGUGUGUUUCUAUUGAAACACUUUUGCCAAACCUAAAAAUUUUGGCGAAUAAGGACUGGGUAAGACGGGUGCCAGCCGCCGCGGUAAUACCCGCGGUCCAAGUCGCAGCCAUCUUUAUUGGGUCUAGAACAUCCGUAGCUUGCUUAGUAAGUUUCUUGUGAAAUCUCAUGUCUCAAACAUGAGGCGGGCAAGAAGUACUGUUGAGCUAGAGACUGGAAGACGUAAGAAGUACGUUAGAAGUAGUGGUUAAAUACGUUAAUCUCUAACGGACUAAUAACAGCGAAGGCAUCUUACGAGGACAGUUCUGACAGUAAGGGAUGAAGGCCAGGGGCGCAAAACGGAUUAGAUACCCGUGUAGUCCUGGCAGUAAACACUGCUCACUAAACAUCGGGUCCUCUUAGGGAGGAUUCGGUGCUGAAGCGAAGGCGAAGAGUGAGCUACCUGGGAAGUAUAGUCGCAAGAUCGAAACUUAAAGGAAUUGGCGGGGGAGCAC